rnacentral:rRNA from 1 species
UACGUAGGGUGCUAGCGUUGUCCGGAUUUAUUGGGCGUAAAGAGCGUGUAGGCGGUCAGGUAGGUCUGCUGUGAAAACUCGAGGCUCAACCUCGAGACGUCGGCGGAAACCAUCUGGCUAGAGUCCGGAAGAGGAGAGUGGAAUUCCUGGUGUAGCGGUGAAAUGCGUAGAUAUUGCUCGGAAGGCCGGAGCCGAAGGGGCCCUACUGGUGCGCAACUGACGCUGAUGCACGAAAGCGUGGGGAGCAAACAGG